CUUCUGGCAUGAUUUUAUUAGCAAAAUAUCCAACUGCUUAGUGGUGCAUCCAGGACGCACUCAAUCGCCAUUUCAUGUAUGAUCUAAAAGGGCAAUUGCCCUCAUGUUUUGCCGCAGGACUGCAAUUGCAAGUAAAUUUUCUGUCAUUUUUGCAGGAAAUUAAUAUGAAGAUUGUACCAAGUAACAUUUAUUUUUAGUAACAUUUAUCUUUAGCAACAAGAUGAAAGUGAAUAGCAAGCAGAACAAUGCAAUUACAACCAUGGCGAUUACGGCCAUUUAAUACAUCUCAGUCAUUAAUGCUUCUUCACCUUCAGAUGUUUUCUUUUUCAGUAGUUUUAGCAGUAGAAGUAAAAGCACAAAACAAGUCACAAGAAAUCAAAAAUGUAAAAUGUACAAAAAAUCCAAUACCAUUGUUGGCAAACAAUUAUUGCAAACAAUAAAUUUUAUACAUUUUUGUAAUCCUUUCUGUUGUAAACUACCGCCAUAUGUUUGACCUUUUUCUAUAACACUGAAGUCUUUUUAUUUUACCUGUUUAACCAACAGCUAUAGCAAUAUGAUUAAAUUUUUGUUGGAGGACAAAAUUAACAAAAAAGAUUGUAAUUCAUUAUAUAGGCCUAUAUGAAAUUGGCAAUUUCAUAGAAGCAUAAUAUGGAAAAGGAUUAUUUAGAACUGAAUGUGCCUAGUGCACAGUUCUAAAGAAUCCAGGUGGGUUUGUGUUCCCACUGGUAUGUCAGUAAGGACACCUGAGGCAAGGAUUCAGUUUCCAGAAUUUAAUGGAAUGAUUUAGAAUCGACAGCAAUUGACAGCACAGUCAGACCACAGGGCAUUUCUUGUUUAGGCACAGGUUGUGGACAUUUGUAUAGAUGUGGUAUUGUUUCAGUGGUAUUGUUCAGCCUCAGAAGAACACCUGAUGCUCCCCUCUCUUCAGCGAGCGAUCACUGGCUGAUGUCACACAGUAACGUGUGCUUAUUGGCUGUGACUUCUUAUCACUGCCGCCCCCAAAUAUGCUGAGCAUAUUUGCCCCUUUGUAGGCUUAAUCAGUUUACUCAGCUAACUCAGUCAGGGGCUGAGUCUUUGACAGGUACAUUCUCGUCUGUGAAAGCAGGAAGGGGAAUCAAACGAGCAAUAGCCCGGGUGUAGAUCUUAUCAUUGAUUUGGGUCUCUGCUUCUCUGAUCGGGCCAUCUGAACCAAAAUCAUUAUACACAAACAUUUCUGCUAUCAGGUUCACAUGCAGAAUCUGUUUAUAUAUAUUUUUUAUUGCCAUGAGGUUGCUCUGUAACAGAUAUUUACAUAUUUUCCACAAGAUAAAGCAAGAACUGAAACUACCCUGUUUAAAAAUGUACUACUGACUCUUGGUUUUUUAAAUUGUGCCUCUUUAACAGUAAAUGUUUUUCAGUUGUCAGGGCCUCAUUUCCCCAAAACAAUGGAUCUUAGUUCAUGUUCCAUCUUUCCUUACAGUUAAACUCAUUAAUGAAAUACAU